rnacentral:rRNA from 1 species
AACGCGAAGAACCUUACCAGGUCUUGACAUACUCGUGCUAUUCCUAGAGAUAGGAAGUUCCUUCGGGACACGGGAUACAGGUGGUGCAUGGUUGUCGUCAGCUCGUGUCGUGAGAUGUUGGGUUAAGUCCCGCAACGAGCGCAACCCCUAUUGUUAGUUGCCAUCAUUAAGUUGGGCACUCUAACGAGACUGCCGGUGAUAAACCGGAGGAAGGUGGGGAUGACGUCAAAUCAUCAUGCCCCUUAUGACCUGGGCUACACACGUGCUACAAUGGAUGGUACAACGAGUCGCGAGACAGUGAUGUUUAGCUAAUCUCUUAAAACCAUUCUCAGUUCGGAUUGUAGGCUGCAACUCGCCUACAUGAAGUCGGAAUCGCUAGUAAUCGCGGAUCAGCACGCCGCGGUGAAUACGUUCCCGGGCCUUGUA